rnacentral:rRNA from 1 species
ACGGACUUCGGUCUGGUGGCGAGUGGCGAACGGGUGAGUAAUGUAUCGGAACGUGCCCAGUAGCGGGGGAUAACUACGCGAAGGCGUAGCUAAUACCGCAUACGCCCUACGGGGGAAAGCAGGGGAUCGUAAGACCUUGCACUAUUGGAGCGGCCGAUAUCGGAUUAGCUAGUUGGUGGGGUAACGGCUCACCAAGGCGACGAUCCGUAGCUGGUUUGAGGGGACGACCAGCCACACUGGGACUGAGACACGGCCCAGACUCCUACGGGAGGCAGCAGUGGGGAAUUUUGGACAAUGGGGGAAACCCUGAUCCAGCCAUCCCGCGUGUGCGAUGAAGGCCUUCGGGUUGUAAAGCACUUUUGGCAGGAAAGAAACGUCAUGGGUUAAUACCCCGUGAAACUGACGGUACCUGCAGAAUAAGCACCGGCUAACUACGUGCCAGCAGCCGCGGUAAUACGUAGGGUGCAAGCGUUAAUCGGAAUUACUGGGCGUAAAGCGUGCGCAGGCGGUUCGGAAAGAAAGAUGUGAAAUCCCAGAGCUUAACUUUGGAACUGCAUUUUUAACUACCGGGCUAGAGUGUGUCAGAGGGAGGUGGAAUUCCGCGUGUAGCAGUGAAAUGCGUAGAUAUGCGGAGGAACACCGAUGGCGAAGGCAGCCUCCUGGGAUAACACUGACGCUCAUGCACGAAAG